rnacentral:rRNA from 1 species
AUUGCGCGCUGAACUUAAGCAUAUCAAUAAGCGGAGGAAAAGAAACUAACAAGGAUUCCCCUAGUAACUGCGAGUGAAGAGGGAAAAGCUCAAAUUUAAAAUCUGGUAGUUUCACUGUCCGAGUUGUAAUUUAGAGAAGUGUUGCCCGCGUUGGACCGUGUACAAGUCUCCUGGAACGGAGCGUCAUAGAGGGUGAGAAUCCCGUCUGUGACACGGACUAACAAGGCUUUGUGGUACGCUCUCGAAGAGUCGAGUUGUUUGGGAAUGCAGCUCUAAAUGGGUGGUAAAUUCCAUCUAAAGCUAAAUAUUGGCGAGAGACCGAUAGCAAACAAGUACCGUGAGGGAAAGAUGAAAAGAACUUUGGAAAGAGAGUUAAACAGUACGUGAAAUUGUUGAAAGGGAAACGCUUAAAGUCCAGUGAGCGUUGGUUAGGAAUCAGCCUUGGUUUUCCUUGGUGCGCUUUUUAGUCGACGGGUCAACAUCAGUUUUGAGCGUUGGAUAAAGGUCAAGGGAAUGUGGCAGCUUCGGGUGUGUUAUAGCCUUUGAUUGUAUACAGCGGUUGGGACUGAGGAACUCAGCACGCCGAAAGCCCUGGGUCUUGUACCACGUUCGUGCUUAGGAUGUUGGCAUAAUGGCUUUAAUCGACCCGUCUUGAAACACGG